GCCGGGCAUGGUAGCUCAUGCCUGUAAUCCCAGCACUUUGGGAGGCCGAGGCAGGCGGAUCACCUGAGGUCAGGAGUUUGAGACCAGCCUGGCCAACAUGGUGAAACCCUGUCUCUA
rnacentral:SRP_RNA from 1 species